CCUACGGGAGGCUGCAGUCGAGAAUCAUUCACAAUGGGGGAAACCUGAUGGUGCGACGCCGCGUGGGGGAAUGAAGGUCUUCGGAUUGUAAACCCCUGUCAUGUGGGAGCAAAUUAAAAAGAUAGUACCACAAGAGGAAGAGACGGCUAACUCUGUGCCAGCAGCCGCGGUAAUACAGAGGUCUCAAGCGUUGAUCGGAAUCACUGGGCGUAAAGCGUGCGUAGGCUGUUUCGUAAGUCGUGGGUGAAAGGCGCAGGCUCAACCCGCGGACGGCACAUGAUACUGCGUGGCUAGAGAAAUGGAGGGGGAGCCGGAAUGCUCGGUGUAGCGGUGAAAUGCGUAGAUAUC
rnacentral:rRNA from 1 species